UACGGGGGGGGCAAGCGUUGUUCGGAAUUACUGGGCGUAAAGGGCUCGUAGGCGGCCAACUAAGUCGAACGUGAAAUCCCCGGGCUCAACCCGGGAACUGCGUCCGAUACUGGGAGGCUUGAAUCCGGGAGAGGGAUGUGGAAUUCCAGGUGUAGCGGUGAAAUGCGUAGAUAUCUGGAGGAACACCGGUGGCGAAGGCGGCAUCCUGGACCGGUAUUGACGCUGAGGCGCGAAAGCCAGGGGAGCAAGCA
rnacentral:rRNA from 1 species